CUGGCGGCGUGCCUAAUACAUGCAAGUCGAACGCACUCUCGUUUAGAUUGAAGGAGCUUGCUCCUGAUUGAUAAACAUUUGAGUGAGUGGCGACGGGUGAGUAACACGUGGGUAACCUGCCCUAAAGUGGGGGAUAACAUUUGGAAACAGAUGCUAAUACCGCAUAAAACCUAACACCGCAUGGUGUAGGGUUGAAAGAUGGUUUCGGCUAUCACUUUAGGAUGGACCCGCGGUGCAUUAGUUAGUUGGUGAGGUAAAGGCUCACCAAGACCGUGAUGCAUAGCCGACCUGAGAGGGUAAUCGGCCACACUGGGACUGAGACACGGCCCAGACUCCUACGGGAGGCAGCAGUAGGGAAUCUUCCACAAUGGACGAAAGUCUGAUGGAGCAACGCCGCGUGAGUGAAGAAGGUUUUCGGAUCGUAAGACUCUGUUGUUGGAGAAGAAUGUAUCUGAUAGUAACUGAUCAGGUAGUGACGGUAUCCAACCAGAAAGCCACGGCUAACUACGUG
rnacentral:rRNA from 1 species